rnacentral:rRNA from 1 species
AAUGCGUAAAUGAUCUACCCUCUUGACGGGGAUAACAGUUCGAAAGAGCUGCUAAUACCGGAUGCGGUCCUUAGGUUGCGGCCUGGGGAUUAAAGAUGGCCUCUAUUUUAAGCUGUCGCAAGAGGAGGAGUUUACGUGCUAUUAGCUAGUUGGUGGGGUAAUGGCCCACCAAGGCAAUGAUGGCUAGCCGGCCUGAGAGGGUGUCCGGCCACACUGGGACUGAGACACUGCCCAGACUCCUACGGGAGGCUGCAGUCGAGAAUCUUCCACCAAUGUGCGAAAGCAUGAUGGAGCGACGCCGCGUGUAUGAUGAAGGCCUUCGGGUUGUAAAGUACUGUCAGUUAAUCUUAAACCCGUACCGUUAAUACCAGUUGCGGUUGAAAGGUUUUCAGAGGAAGCACCGGCUAAAUCCGUGCCAGCAGCCGCGGUAAUACGGAUGGUGCAAGCGUUAUUCGGAAUCACUGGGCAUAAAGAGCACGUAGGCGGCUGCAUAAGUCAGUGGUGAAAUCCCUCAGCUCAACUGGGGAACUGCCAUUGAUACUGUGCGGCUAGAAUGCGGGAGGGGCAGAUGGAAUUCCAGGUGGAGCGGUGAAAUGCGUAGAUAUCUGGAGGAACGCCGGAG